rnacentral:misc_RNA from 1 species
GAUGAAGAACGUAGCGAAAUGCGAUACGUAAUGUGAAUUGCAGAAUUCAGUGAAUCAUCGAGUCUUUGAACGCACAUUGCGCCCCCUGGUAUUCCGGGGGGCAUGCCUGUCCGAGCGUCAUUGCUGCCCUCAAGCACGGCUUGUGUGUUGGGCCUCCGUCCUCCUCCCGGGGGACGGGCCGGAAAGGCAGCGGCGGCACCGCGUCCGGUCCUCGAGCGUAUGGGGCUUCGUCACCCGCUCUUGUAGGCCCGGCCGGCGCUUGCCGACACAUCAAUCUUUUUUCCAGGUUGACCUCGGAUCAGGUAGGGAUACCCGCUGAACUUAAGCAUAUCAAUAAGCGGAGGA